GUAGCGGCGAGUGAGCGGCAAGAGCUCAGAUUUGAAAUCGUGCUUUGCGGCACGAGUUGUAGAUUGCAGGUUGGAGUCUGUGUGGAAGGCGGUGUCCAAGUCCCUUGGAACAGGGCGCCCAGGAGGGUGAGAGCCCCGUGGGAUGCCGGCGGAAGCAGUGAGGCCCUUCUGACGAGUCGAGUUGUUUGGGAAUGCAGCUCCAAGCGGGUGGUAAAUUCCAUCUAAGGCUAAAUACUGGCGAGAGACCGAUAGCGAACAAGUACUGUGAAGGAAAGAUGAAAAGCACUUUGAAAAGAGAGUGAAACAGCACGUGAAAUUGUUGAAAGGGAAGGGUAUUGCGCCCGACAUGGGGAUUGCGCACCGCUGCCUCUCGUGGGCGGCGCUCUGGGCUUUCCCUGGGCCAGCAUCGGUUCUUGCUGCAGGAGAAGGGGUUCUGGAACGUGGCUCUUCGGAGUGUUAUAGCCAGGGCCAGAUGCUGCGUGCGGGGACCGAGGACUGCGGACGUGUAGGUCACGGAUGCUGGCAGAACGGCGCAACACCGCCCGUCUUGAAACACGGACCA
rnacentral:rRNA from 1 species